AUUCCCAAAUACCAUAUAUUCAAAUUGCCAUAUGUAUAAAGACAAAAAUGAGAGAAUUAAUAGUAAGUUGAAGAUCUAAAUCUUGAUAUUCCCUGUAUUAUGAUUGGCAAAACGCUUUGAAGUUAUUAUAAAUAUCCAAUAUUUCUUUCAACCUUUUUUUUUAGGGGAUUUUCAAAAAGGAUAGUCAUUUUUCUCCUUUAUUCGUCAGCACCAUAAUUUAACGCUUGCUCCCUUCCAGCGAAAAUCAACUUAACAUCGAAUAUUGCCAGAGAUUUGAUAUCACUAACGAUGACUUGAUUUGGUUUUUAAGUAACAAACAGACAGAUAUUCCAUAGCAGCUUUUACCCCAUAAUAAGCAAAUUUUGUUUUUCAC